CUAAUGAAAUAAUGAGAGCUCUGACUCCAAUUCAGAGGUAGAGAGACAUGGGGAAAGAAGAUUGUUCCUUUUUAAAAUUUCCUUCCUUUUUUUUUUUUUUUUUUCAAUUGCUUUUGAAGACAGUGAUGUCAUAAAUCCCACCAUGAGGCAGUGAUGUUACAAAAUGGGCAGUGUGUUACAAUCAGAUCACAAAUGGAACAUGAGCCUGUUUUGUUUCCUGGGAUUCACUCUCACAUUUACCUGCAUGGGUUUGUGUGGACGCCAAGGUUUGCACUUCUGAUAUGCUGGCUGAACGAGCGUGCAUAUGUUUUAGAAACACCUAGGCCGUGGAGUUUUGCCAAGAAAAUGCACAGGUCAUACCAAACACCCUAUUCCAACAACACAAGAGAAGACUCUACACAUGGACAUCACCAGAUGGUCAACACCGAAAUCAGAUUGAUUAUAUUCUUUGCAGCCAAAGAUGGAGAAGCUCUAUACCGUCAGCAAAAACAAGACCAGGAGCUGACUGUGGCUCAGACCAUGAACUCCUUAUUGCCAAAUUCAGACUUAAAUUGAAGAAAGUACAGAAAACCACUAGACCAUUCAGGUAUGACCUAAAUCAAAUCCCUUAUGAUUAUACAGUGGAAGUGAGAACUAGAUUUAAGGGCCUAGAUCUGAUAGAUAGAGUGCCUGAUGAACUAUGGAAUGAGGUUCGUGACAUUGUACAGGAGACAGGGAUCAAGACCAUUCCCAUGGAAAAGAAAUGCAAAAAAGCAAGACCAUUCCCAUGGAAAAGAAAUGCAAAAAAGCAAAAUAGCUGUCUGGGGAGGCCUUACAAAUAGCUAUGAAAAGAAGAGAAGCGAAAAGCAAAGGAGAAAAGGAAAGAUAUAAGCAUCUGGAUGCAGAGUUCCAAAGAAUAGCAAGAAGAGAUAAGAAAGCCUUCUUCAGUGAUCAAUGCAAAGAAAUAGAGGAAAACAACAGAAUGGGAAAGACUAGGGAUCUCUUCAAGAAAAUCAGAGAUACCAAAGGAACAUUUCAUGCAAAGAUGGGCUUGAUAAAGGACAGAAAUGGUAUGGGCCUAACAAAAGCAGAAGAUAUUAAGAAGAGAUGGCAAGAAUAUACAGAAGAACUAUACAAAAAAAGAUCUUCACGACCCAGAUAAUCACGAUGGUGUGAUCACUGACCGAGAGCCAGACAUCCUGGAAUGUGAAGUCAAGUGGGCCUUAGAAAGCAUCACUAUGAACAAAGCUAGUGGAGGUGAUAGAAUUCCAGUUGAGCUAUUCCAAAUCCUGAAAGAUGAUGCUGUGAAAGUGCUGCACUCAAUAUGGCAGCAAAUUUGGAAAACUCAAUAGUGGCCACAGGACUGGAAAAGGUCAGUUUUCAUUCCAAUCCCAAAGAAAGGCAAUGCCAAAGAAUGCUCAAACUACCACACAAUUGCACUCAUCUCACACGCUAGUAAAGUCAUGCUCAAAAUUCUCCAAGCCAGGCUUCAGCAAUAUGUGAACCGUGAACUUCCUCAUGUUCAAGCUGGUUUUAGAAAAGGCAGAGGAACCAGAGAUCAAAUUGCCAACAUCCACUGGAUCAUGGAAAAAGCAAGAGAGUUCCAGAAAAACAUCUAUUUCUGCUUUAUUGACUAUGCCAAAGCCUUUGACUGUGUGGAUCACUAUAAACUGUGGAAAGUUCUGAAAGAGAUAGGGACACCAGACCACCUGAUCUGCCUCUUGAGAAAUUUGUAUGCAGGUCAGGAAGCAACAGUUAGAACUGGACAUGGAACAACAGACUGGUUCCAAAUAGGAAAAGGAGUUCGUCAAGGCUGAAAACGAAGAUCAUGGCAUCUGGUCCCACUACUUCAUGGGAAAUAGAUGGGGAAACAGUGGAAACAGUGUCAGACUUUAUUUUUCUGGGCUCCAAAAUCACUACAGAUGGUGACUGCAGCCAUGAAAUUAAAAGACACUUACUCCUUGGAAGGAAAGUUAUGACCAACCUAGAUAGCAUAUUCAAAAGCAGAGACAUUACUUUGCCAACAAAGGUUCGUCCAGUCAAGGCUAUGGUUUUUCCUGUGGUCAUGUAUGGAUGUGAGAAUAAAGAAGGCUGAGUGCCAAAGAAUUGAUGCUUU
ensembl:lncRNA